GCUCUUCCUUUAAGCGGUACAGAACUUCGAGCGAUGACAGCGUCGGCGCGUGACAGUAGAUUAUUUGUGUGGAAAAGAGUAGCAAGAAGGUCUGAAACCAUGAUUAUUAGUUAUUCUAUUGAAAUUCAUUGAAUCAAUUGUUCUACUUAAAUCUAAAUGUUUGAUUAUUCUACCUUAAACUAAUUGGUGAAUGCCUAAAAUCUACGAACAUGCAAUGCUAAAGUUAAACUUAUCUAAAACAUAAAAUACUUGUUGCUUGGGAAGGCGAAAUCAUUGUUAACUAAGUGGAAGCACCGAAAGUUUUAAAGCUGCACCUUACCGCAAACUUCAUGGCGACCCUUCGUGCUGCUGAGAACCCGGUGACGAACUGGAUUUCAUAACCCUUCCCCCGCUAACAAACUUUAAAACUUUCGAUGGCAAACCUACUACCAUUGCCGAAAGUAGCAUCAAAGGGAAGCAGCGAUACCUACCCGCGCCCCGAAUCAUACCACAACAUGUCAUACAUUGGCCGCAGUGGUUCGUCAGUGAAUAAGAGUUCACUAAUCAGCAAGGAAUCUGCUCGUUUGGCUCUACAACUAAGGCAAAUACAUGAAGAGCGCGCAAUUCAGCAGCGCGCAAUAGAAAUAGAAAGGCGCACCUUUGCCCUUGAGCGCAAAAUCCUGGAAGAAAAAUAUAAAUUGUUGGAGCAGCAGAUUCGGAUGAAAUCAGCUGUCCGCAAACGCACCAAUGCCAGCGAAUCAUCAGCCGAUGGUAUCCCUUUGUCAGCACCAGCACAUACAGCGAGUGAUACUACGAUGCAUCGGGAACCACAAUUUGAAACAUUAACGAUACAACCGAAAGGAAUAGAAUCCUCACCAGAUCGAUUGCAAGUGCUUGGGACUCAGCAGCUUAUUUCCAGCGCGUUUCCCAAAGCAGAUUUGAGAAAACAACAUCUGAUCGCAGACAGCAGUGAAAGAUGGGACGAGACUAUCUGCAUCUCUCGUCCACCGUAUGGAACACCAUCAAGCUCCGAGUUCAACUCUGAAGAUACGGCAGGCCGACUUCAAGAGCUAUAUCACGAGACUGGUCAGCA